rnacentral:rRNA from 1 species
GAAACUCAAAGGAAUUGACGGGGCCCGCACAAGCGGUGGAGCAUGUGGUUUAAUUCGACGCAACGCGAAGAACCUUACCAGGGCUUGACAUCCCCUGACCGCGUAUGAAAGUACGUUUUCACCCUCGGGUGACAGGGAGACAGGUGGUGCAUGGUUGUCGUCAGCUCGUGUCGUGAGAUGUUGGGUUAAGUCCCGCAACGAGCGCAACCCCUACGUUUAGUUGCUAACGCGUGAAGGCGAGCACUCUAGACGAACUGCCGUUGACAAAACGGAGGAAGGUGGGAUGACGUCAAAUCAUCAUGCCCCUUAUGUUCUGGGCUACACACGUGCUACAAUGGCCGGUACAGACGGACGCAAAGCCGCGAGGUGGAGCAAAUCCUAAAAAGCCGGUCUCAGUUCGGAUUGCAGGCUGCAAUUCGCCUGCAUGAAGUCGGAAUCGCUAGUAAUCGCAGGUCAGCAUACUGCGGUGAAUACGUUCCCGGGCCUU